UUCCUUGUGAAUAUGCUGUGCCAGCUGAAGGAGGAGGGCAUGAUACUGAAGACACUCGGGGUGAGCUAUACCUGCCCUGUUUCCCAGCUGGAGUUCCAGCUUGUGUCGGUGCGCACAUGUACCAGCUGUGGGCGCGAGUCAUCCACCAGAGAGGACUACAACCACCUCUCAUUGGACUUCAGCCCUGAGUGCACCUUGCUGAGCAGCCUAGCACUUGCUUUUAAAGUUACCCAGGUUAUUAUUGUAGUGGUAUCAUUCAUUUUGUAAUGCUUUUGUUUCUAACCCAGGGCAAAAAGCUUGAAUUCACAUGAGAGGGCUGUAAAGGCCUCCACGCCUCAAAGGUGGAGCAGUUCCACACACUGCCUCUUGUGCUGGUUCUGCAUCUGAAGAGGUUUGGAGGACCUGGGGGGUUGGAGAAGCUGGAGGCUCCUCUUUUGUUUCCUUCGGAGCUGAGGCUCUCCACCCUCUGUGGGGACAUGAUGCCAUACUUGCACAGUGCCAGCCCACAGGCCCUCACCAACCAGGCCCCCAGCAUCCAGGUGUCCAUCCCCCAGACCCUUGCCAGCCAAGUCUCCAGCCCACCUGGAG